rnacentral:rRNA from 1 species
GGAACACUGCUAUCCCGCAAGGGAGUGGAGUCGAGGUGCUGCAUGGCUGUCGUCAGCUCGUGUCGUGAGAUGUUGGGUUAAGUCCCGCAACGAGCGCAACCCUUGUCCUGUGUUGCCAGCAUUUAGUUGGGAACUCGCAGGAGACCGCCAGCGAUAAGCUGGAGGAAGGUGGGGAUGACGUCAAGUCCUCAUGGCCUUUAUGUCCAGGGCUACACACGUGCUACAAUGGACGGUACAAAGCGCAGCAAACCCGCGAGGGGGAGCCAAUCGCAAAAAACCGUUCUCAGUUCGGAUUGCAGGCUGCGACUCGCCUGCAUGAAGCUGGAAUCGCUAGUAAUGGCAGAUCAGCACGCUGCCGUGAAUACGUUCCCGGGCCUUGUACACACCGCCCGUCACAUCACGAAAGUGGAUUGUACUAGAAGUCUGCAGGCUGACCCGCAAGGGGGGCAGCGGCCCAAGGUAUGAUCCAUGAUUGGGGUGAAGUCGUAACAAGGUAACCGU